UACAGAGGUCUCAAGCGUUGUUCGGAUUCAUUGGGCGUAAAGGGUGCGUAGGUGGCGCUGUAAGUCGGGUGUGAAAUUUCGGAGCUUAACUCCGAAACUGCAUUCGAUACUGCGGUGCUUGAGGACUGGAGAGGAGACUGGAAUUCAUGGUGUAGCAGUGAAAUGCGUAGAUAUCGUAAGGAAGACCAGUGGCGAAGGCGAGUCUCUGGACAGUUACUGACACUGAGGCACGAAGGCCAGGGGAGCAAACGGG
rnacentral:rRNA from 1 species